UACGAAGGGGCUAGCGUUGCUCGGAAUCACUGGGCGUAAAGCGCACGUAGGCGGAUUGUUAAGUCAGGGGUGAAAUCCUGGAGCUCAACUCCAGAACUGCCUUUGAUACUGGCGAUCUUGAGUUCGGGAGAGGUGAGUGGAACUGCGAGUGUAGAGGUGAAAUUCGUAGAUAUUCGCAAGAACACCAGUGGCGAAGGCGGCUCACUGGCCGGAACUGACGCUGAGGCGACGAAGCGGAGG
rnacentral:rRNA from 1 species